UUCCCUUCGGGGACAAAGUGACAGGUGGUGCAUGGUUGUCGUCAGCUCGUGUCGUGAGAUGUUGAGUUAAGUCCCGCAACGAGCGCAACCCUUAUUGCCAGUUGCUACCAUUUAGUUGAGCACUCUGGUGAGACCGCCUCGGAUAACGGGGAGGAAGGUGGGGAUGACGUCAAGUCCUCAUGGCCUUUAUGUCCAGGGCUACACACGUGCUACAAUGGCCGGUACAAACCGCCGCAAACCCGCGAGGGGGAGCUAAUCGGAAAAAGCCGGCCUCAGUUCGGAUUGUAGUCUGCAACUCGACUACAUGAAGCUGGAAUCGCUAGUAAUCGCGGAUCAGCAUGCCGCGGUGAAUACGUUCCCGGGCCUUGUACACACCGCCCGUCACAUCACGAAAGUGGGUCGUACUAGAAGCGGGUGAGCCAACCGUAAGGAGGCAGCCUUCCAAGGUGUGAUUCAUGAUUGGGGUGAAGUCGUAACAAGGUAGCCGUAGGAGAACCUGCGGCUGGAUCACCUCCUUUCUAAG
rnacentral:rRNA from 1 species